UGGGGAAUUUUGGACAAUGGGCGAAAGCCUGAUCCAGCAAUGCCGCGUGUGUGAAGAAGGCCUUCGGGUUGUAAAGCACUUUUGUCCGGAAAGAAAUCCUUGGCUCUAAUACAGUCGGGGGAUGACGGUACCGGAAGAAUAAGCACCGGCUAACUACGUGUCAGCAGCCGCGGUAAUACGUAGGGUGCAAGCGUUAAUCGGAAUUACUGGGCGUAAAGCGUGCGCAGGCGGUUUGCUAAGACCGAUGUGAAAUCCCCGGGCUCAACCUGGGAACUGCAUUGGUGACUGGCAGGCUAGAGUAUGGCAGAGGGGGGUAGAAUUCCACGUGUAGCAGUGAAAUGCGUAGAGAUGUGGAGGAAUACCGAUGGCGAAGGCAGCCCCCUGGGCCAAUACUGACGCUCAUGCACGAAAGCGUGGGGAGCAAACAGGAUUAGAUACCCUGGUAGUCCACGCCCUAAAACGAUGUCAACUAGUUGUUGGGGAUUCAUUUCCUUAGUAACGUAGCUAACGCGUGAAGUUGACCGCCUGGGGAGUACGGUCGCAAGAUUAAAACUCAAAUGAAUUGACGGGGU
rnacentral:rRNA from 1 species